CAGAAAUAUCACAUACAUGCCUACAGCCAUUCCCACAGCAGGAACCUCUGAGGAAGUGUCGCAAUCUGGUAGUCACCUUCUUUCCAAGUUUGGUGUCAUCAUAGCUUCCAGGAAUUUCUCUCUGGCUGCCCUCUGUCUUUCGUUCAGUUUCUUCCCAAACAGACCAGACUGCUCCUCUUCAGGUUCUUUUCUCGUCCUUCCAUCUAUAAGAAACACAGACACAACAAAAGAGGAGAACCUUAUUUUUCGCUACAAGAAGAUUCCCGUCUGCAUGUGUUGGCCCCCUCCUCAUCUCAGCUUCUGAUCUCUUGAGGAAAAGAGAAUUCCAUCGGCCAGUGUGUGUGUGUGUGUGCCCAGUCGUCUUCUUUUUUACCUGAGAAAUCUCUCCAAGAAGGUUUUCAUCGUCGCCGUCCCAUUGCCUAGACCCCUGAUGUUGCUCCUCCUGGCGAAACUCGGGCGGAGACACCGCCGCCGCCGCCGCUUUUCCAGCAGAUAUAAAUUGUCGUGCCAAAGAGAAGAAAUUCCGCUGCGUCUUGACAUCUGGACAGGCUCAUCAGUGACAAGAAGGGAAAACACUUACGACAAGGAAAUAGGAGCCCAAAUGAUUGCCGAGCGGCGACCUGAAAUUUGAAGAAAAGAAUUUCUUAUCUGACGAAAAGUGUCGUGAAUGAUAUUUUCGUCCCAUCGCUCUUCUUGUGAAACAUUUGCGGCGCAUAAAUUAUGCGCUCAGGAGAAGAAUAUAAGAGAGUCUAGUUCGGGGAGUGACGUAAUUUUAGAUGGGAUACGUCUCGUGGCGAGGACCAACGACGACGACGUCUUGCUGCUCCAUGGUGUCCGUUUCUUUUUCCAGUUAGCCAAGCAUCAAUAAUCUUACCCCCCUUGGAAGUUUCAGCUGUUUCGAAAAACUCGGUCCUGCGACAAAAUGUCCUUUUCACAGACCCGUAUGAGGACAUAAUUCAAUAUGGAACCAGCUACAACCCGCGCGACCCAUUGAGGGCCAAUACACACACAAAAAACAGCCUAAGAAGAAGAAGUACAAGAAGGAGCAGAGAGAAGACUCGGAUCAAGUAUAUCGAAGCUCCUUUUUCUUUCUAAAUGUAAUAAUAUAUAGUAUAAGGGAGAAAGUCUUUUGAUGAUGGACCCUGCCUGCCGGUCCCGGUGUCUCUACUCUAUCCCCCCAGCAUGCAGACAUUAUUGUACACACACAGGAGCAGCAGGAGGAGCUGUGGCAGCUGCUGUAAUGCUCAAUACCCCCACCAACCCCCUCUUAUAUUAUAGAAAGGAGGGGGGGGAUUUUCAUACACAUACACACAAAAAAAUCCCGUGCAUGUACGCGUAUGUGUCGCGUUUGGAUGUGUGUGUGUGUAUAAAUAGGAAAUGGGGAGCAUUGCAGCAGUUCCAAAUAAAGUGGGUACUACUACUACUACUACUACGACGUCGUCGUCGUCGUAGUAGUAAAUAUAACCACCUGGCCAUCACCCCUCCCUCCCUCCUAGUUUUUCAAGAGACUUUUCAGCCCGAUAGAUCCGAUUAUGUAAAGAGUUUUUUUUUUUAUUUAUUUAUUUCCACCAUUUUAUCGCGCAAGUUCCUAUACACAAUUUCGGAAUUGUUUCACAUCAGCCUUUUUUUUUCCUUCGUUCCUCUUACAAAUUUUCACCAGUCGAUUUAUUUUUUCAACCCCAAAAAUAAAUUGCGUCUAUCUCGAGUCUCUUACAUAUAUUAUAACAAUGCGGCAGCAUUUAUUCCCAUUUUCUUA